GCUUCUCGCUUCUUACUUGCGCGCUACCUAGCGCGAAUUUUCCAUUGAGGAUGAAGCGAAGAAAGGGUGAAACGUAAUAUUAAGUGCGCAAAUAAAUUUGCUUUUUCUUGAAAAAAAUGAGCCUUUAUUUAUACUUAUAUUUUCUUAUUUUUGAGAGGAGAUUCGUUAGCUGUCGAUAGGUGGAGAAAAGUAUUAAGAAAUGAUGGUGAAUAUUUCGAAAAUUGACAUAUUUAUUACUUUCUUGUAAAUAAAGGGUUAAUUUAUUCAAAAAAACCCUGAAUUAACUUGCGCACCUAAUAAAAAUAAAAAGGGAAAAAUAUAAUCAAUGAGAGAUGGAGCGAACUGACUUCCAGUUGCACCGCGAUUUUCAUCAGAGUAUUGAUGAUAUGUUUGGCUCCGAGUUUUUUUAUUGCACUCCUAUAUGAAUACUUAUUUAUAGUGUCGAAUAUAAUAAACAUAGAUUUAAAUAUAUAAUACACAAAUUUUCAUGAAAAUCGUACUUCAGUAUUACAUGAGCUUUUCGAUUUUCCAAUUUUUCAUAAGACGUACUGCUUCGUGAUUUAGAAAAUAAUAUGGAAUUAUAAUUUUAGAUAUACACACACGAUAUUUUUAUGAUUGAAUCAUCUCAUGUUAAAAUGAAAUGAUUGAUUAUCAAAAUAUUUACUUCAUAAUAAUAAAAAUUAAACUUUCAGAUUCAUUUCGUAUGAAAUCUUUUCUACCUCUAGAAAAUCCUUUUUUUUAUCCGCUAUCUUUUCUUAUUCUACAAAGUUGACAAGAGGGAUUGGUUUAGUAAUACACAAAUCUACUUUUAUUCACAUUUUUUUGUCUUUUCUUUCCGUUGAAUCAUCGAGGAAAUAAUCGAGAGAACAGAAACCUCUGUGAUACGAAUAGCAAUUACAGAUAAAUAUGUA